AAAUGCAUUUCUAGUCUUUAUAGUCUUUUUAAUCUCUGUCUAUUCUCUAAAAUGUUGUGUGUAAUUUUUUGUUUUGUAUAUGUGUGUGGAUCUAGAUUUUGUGGAUACCUCUAUGCAGAUGCCUCUCUUUAUCUGUACAAGUCUAGCUGCUUGCUAAGUUGUGUCUGUCCAUCUUUAUCAACUUGUUAAAAUUUAUGUUUCCAUCUGAGCCUUUGCAAAUGUUUCCUUUAAAGACC